rnacentral:rRNA from 1 species
UACGUAGGGCGCAAGCGUUGUCCGGAAUUAUUGGGCGUAAAGAGCUCGUAGGCGGCUUGUCACGUCGGGUGUGAAAGCCCGGGGCUUAACCCCGGGUCUGCAUUCGAUACGGGCAGGCUAGAGUGUGGUAGGGGAGAUCGGAAUUCCUGGUGUAGCGGUGAAAUGCGCAGAUAUCAGGAGGAACACCGGUGGCGAAGGCGGCUCACUGGCUCGUAACUGACGCUCAUGCACGACAGCGUGGGGAGCAAACAGG